rnacentral:rRNA from 1 species
GACGAACGCUGGCGGCGUGCUUAACACAUGCAAGUCGAACGGAAAGGCCCUGCUUUUGUGGGGUGCUCGAGUGGCGAACGGGUGAGUAACACGUGAGUAACCUGCCCUUGACUUUGGGAUAACUUCAGGAAACUGGGGCUAAUACCGGAUAGGAGCUCCUGCUGCAUGGUGGGGGUUGGAAAGUUUCGGCGGUUGGGGAUGGACUCGCGGCUUAUCAGCUUGUUGGUGGGGUAGUGGCUUACCAAGGCUUUGACGGGUAGCCGGCCUGAGAGGGUGACCGGCCACAAGGUAGCAGAGAUACGGCACAGGGUCGCAUGGGGGGGAGCGGUGGGAAUGAUGGAAGGCGGGGCGGACGGCGUGCGAGGGAGCGCCGAGGGGGGGUGGAUCCCCUUGGGGUUGUACACCGCCGCCGCCGGGGACGAGGCGGGAGUGACGGUGAGGGGUAAAGACGCACCGUCUAACGACGCGCCAGCGGCCGAGGUAAUAAGCGGAAGAGCUCACGUCUGAAC